rnacentral:misc_RNA from 1 species
GAAGUCGUUACUCCAACCCUUGUGGAGGAGGACGCCGAAGGUGGGGCUAAUGACUGGGGUGAAGUCGUAACAAGGUAGCCGUACCGGAAGGUGCGGCUGGAUCACCUCCUAACAGGGAGACAACAAAAUGUAAAUAUUAAUUUUGUCACCUUAGGUCGAUCGGUAUCUCACAUUCUUAAUUUUUAAGAAUAUCAGUUUCUAAGUUUUUCUAGGUCACACCCAUCACUUUUUCCUGGGCCAUUAGCUCAGGUGGUUAGAGCGCACCCCUGAUAAGGGUGAGGUCCCUGGUUCAAGUCCAGGAUGGCCCAUAUCUCUAUGUUGGGGGUAUAGCUCAGUUGGUAGAGCGCCUGCUUUGCAAGCAGGAUGUCAGCGGUUCGAGUCCGCUUACCUCCACUGAAUACCACCUCUUACAUAUUUUGAGGGAGGGAAAUUGUUUUGAGUGGUGUCCUAUUUUACUCUGAGCGAAUCUAGCUUCCUAUUUUUAUUUAGUAAAUAAGAUGCUGGACUCAUUGAAUUUCUAUUCAUUGUUUUCAGAGAACCUUGACAACUGCAUAGAUUAUUUUUGAAGACAAUAAGCAUCUUUAAUGAUGCAGAUUUAUUAUUUGUGCGAAUGCAUUAAAUAACAAUUCUAUUAAGCUGAUGCUUCAAUUAUUGAAGUUAUUGGUCAAGCUACAAAGGGCUCACGGAGGAUAC